CGGGCUGGGCCGUUGUGCCGCCGCUUGAGCGUUACCUGGGAGGUGAGCGGGCGGAUGGCGGCGGCAGCGGUUCUCCUGUUUUCCUGCCCCGGCUCUGCCUCUGCGCCAGGAGGACCUGGGACCUGCAAGGCUGCAAGGCAGUGGGGGGCAAGGCGCUGUCCCGGGCCUCCCCACGGGCCGGCCUCCCUUACCUCAGUUGAGGCAAGACGUCUCUGCGGGUCUUGAGCCUGUGCUUCGGAGGGUGCCUCCCGCGGCGGCAGCGGCAGUGGCAGUAGCAGCGUGAGGUGGUGAAGCAGCAGCUGCUGGAGCAGGACUUCUGCGCUGCAGGCAUGUGUUGCAGCAGGAGGAGGUUGAGGCCUGGGUGGCAGUGGUGCCCCCACAGAUUCUUCCUGUGGGUCCUGAAGGAGCUCGUGAAUGAAGUUGCU